rnacentral:lncRNA from 1 species
AAUAAGUUCGAAAAUAAUUAUUAAAAAUAUUUAUGAGUCUAGUAGUGUGUUUAAUUAGGUUUUAAUUAAGUAAAUUUAGCUUAAUUUAGAGUAAUUAGUAAAAAGGAUUAAAUUGAAUAAGAGUAAAAGUUUAAUUAUAGAUUAAAGAAAAAUUAGAAGGACUUAAGAGGAAAUUAAACCAUUUCCUAUAGUUGAGGCGG